GGACACCUCGAAGAACACAAUCAGUGCAGCAAGGAUUGUAAACACAUUGCGGAGCUCUCCUGCUUAAAGUCCAACGAUGGAGCAGGAGGUUUCAUUUCGUGUGACAAGGUUCUUGGAGAAGUUGAAGGUGAAACUGCCGUCCUAUGUAGAACGUGCUACAACGCGGCGUAGAGGGCAUAGUGCCC